AGGGCUAAACCCGUAAUGCUCAGAGGGUUAAGUUAUGUAUUUGCGGGCGUUAAGCUUAACAACAUUUCGGCGUUUUGACACUAGAAUAUAUUUCGUCAUUUAAGGCAACUACGCUUAAAUUCUUUGGAAGCAUUUGAAUAAACAUACCAUUUCCAGUUAAUGCUUACUUCAAAGAUAUUAUUAUGCUUAUUAUAAAUAAACAGAGAGAUUUUAUAAAGUUUACACUUAAAUGUGCUUUCUGGGAGCACAAGAUUUGUCUCAAGUUUAAUGUUUGGACCAAUGAUUAUAAAACACGCGGCAGACACAUGUAACAUUUCGAAUUUUUACUCACAUGAAAAAUAAGAGACGCAUAUCAUGAACAGAAAAAGGUAUUUCCAUCUAUUGCCACGCAGCUUGCUGGUUAUAAUAUAUCAUCUGCAAUGAAAUGAGUUGACUGUUUCGUAAGCGACUGGAAUACUUUAUUGAAAAACUAAACAAAUUGCUGUAAAGAAUAUACUUGAAAGUUCUUGAAAUAAAACCGGAUGCUUCCUGUGUGACAGUUGCAAGUUGGCAGGAAUAAGACACCAGCCAAUAGUUCAAAAACAAUACUUACAGACUACGCAUGCUGCAAUUUCUACAAACAACAUCACUAAAGAUGAACAGUUCUAGAAAUAUAUAUUCAGUUGUACGGAAAAAAAACCUCUUAUCCAGAAUUGGUGCGGUUCCAUUGCUUACCGAUUAAAAGGUUCUUCAAGUAUUAUUGCAAGAACUGAAUGUGUCAUAGAAAUUUUAUGCAUACAGUGCAAAACACAAAAAGGAUGAAUAUCUGCAGGUCUCUUAACAAUUAUAGAAGAGUGCUCAUCCGUAGGUAGCUAAAAGAAUUCACUGGAUUCAUGCAGUCGAUGAAAGUCUGAAUAGAAAUACUGCACAUGAAUCCAGGGGGAAAAAAAAAAGUAUUUGUGACCUCCCCAAAGUGAAUUUGUUCCACAUCAGAAUAUUAUUUCUUCAGAUGUUAUGAAGUAAUGUGAAGAUAAAGGGAUAGAAAAUGCACUGAUACUUCGUUAAUUCUAGAUGGCGUCAUCUUUAUGAAGAAUAAACAUAUUACAUACAUAUCUUGUAUCAGGUACAUUUUGGCUUGUAUUUUGUGCCAUGAACACACUAUUUACAACUUUUAUGUGACUAUCAAUUUUCAAUAAAUAUCUGGACAAUGA
rnacentral:misc_RNA from 1 species